rnacentral:lncRNA from 1 species
AUCCAGGAAUCAAGCCUUAGCUUUGUCUGUCCUCUACAGGCUUGUGACGGGGGUUUCUCUGCAGGUUUGGAGACUGUCCUGGAACUCACUUUGAAGACCAGGAUGGCCUUGAAUUGGCAGAGAUCCGCCUGCCUCUGCCUCCCAAGUGCUGGGAUUAAAGGCGAGCGCUGCCGCCGCCACUACCACCCAGCUGUGACCUUCUAAAGUAUAGCCGCUCAGCUCAUCUGGUCCUCCUCUUCAGCUCAGGAAGAGACACAGAGGACACACGCAGGCUCCUAACCACAUUUGCUACAAGUGAAUGCUUCUUAUUGUCCAGAACCUGCCAGGUGGCUCUAUGUCCUUAGGGAGGGCUUUCAUCCUUCGCCAUGCUUGUUCACAGAAGUGUCUCCACUGGGGUGAUUUGUGAGUACAGAUGUUGGGUGACUUCUUCAGGCCUUAAUUUCUUAAACUGAUUUUUGGAAGCUCUUUAUUUAACUAAGAUGUCAGACUUCAGUCUGUGGUAAUUGCAUCUUUGAGCUUCCAUGCAACCACAUGAAUCCCAUCUUUUUUUGUCAGUCUUUAAUGGUUUCUCUCUCUCUUUUGUACAAUAAGGCUUAUAAAUAUAUUGUCCAUCCAAAAAGUAUCAGUAUUUGAUUUUGUUUUCUUCUACUUUGUCACAUAUAUAAUAUACAUACCAUUAUAUGUAUUAUACCGAAUAUAGUGUGUGUGUGUGUAUAAACUAAAUAAAACACUUUAGG